AUAUCUUAAAUGUGGUUAUCUUAAAUACUGAGACAACAGGGAUGGAGCAGCCUGUCUAUCCACUGAAGUCGUGUUGUUUGUCCCUGCUGUGUCCUGAGCUGGAAUACUCUUUCUUCUUCCUUCAGAAGACUUUUCAAACUCAGCUUAAGCUCCACUGCCUUAGAGAAUCUUUCCUGUCUGCUUGGACACUCGUCCAGAUUUCUAGAGCAGUAUUCCUGCCCUUUUCCUUUCUGAAUGGGGUGGGAGUUCUCAGAGAACUCAUCUCCUUUGUGGCUUUAUUCAUCACAGCCACAGAGAUAGGUUCUGUCUGGACCACCUUUUUGCCUGAGCUUUUUUUCUUUUUGCCAUAUGUUUUCCUUUCUGUCAGACGCAUGCAUUGGGGAAGCCUCCCAUUGUCUCAGACUCAGGGUGUGAAAAACAAAACAUACUUUGAAAAACAAACCUGCUUUCUGGACUCUACAGUUCAUGUACUGGCCUAAGCUGAAAACCUUGAAAUCUGUCAUCAGUGACUAUUGUAGUCCAUUUUGCAUUGGUGUAAAGAAGUACCCAAGGUUGGGUAAUUUAUAAAGGAAAGAAAGUUUCCUUUUUUUUUUUUUUUUUUUUUUUAGGUCAUAGUUCUUCAAGCUGUUCAAGCAUGGUUCCAGCAUCUGAUCUUUAUUAUUAUUAUUAUUAUUUUUAGUAGAGACAGGGUUUCACCAUGUUGGCCAGGCUGGUCUUGAACUCCUGACCUCAGGUGAUCUGCCCUCCUCAACCUCCCAAAGUGCUGGGAUUACAGGCGUGAUCUGCCACGCCCGGCCAACA